ACGGAUGUGAUGCACACAUUGUAUACCUGAUACUCAGUGAGGGUUCUUGUAUUCAUACUGUCUGAUCCUG